UGGGGAAUUUUGCACAAUGGGGGAAACCCUGAUGCAGCGACGCCGCGUGAUUUAGAAGGCCUUCGGGUUGUAAAAAUCUUUUCUAUGGGAAGAAAUUGAAAGUACCAUAGGAAUAAGGACCGGCUAAUUACGUGCCAGCAGCCGCGGUAAUACGUAAGGUCCGAGCGUUGUCCGGAAUCAUUGGGCGUAAAGGGUACGUAGGCGGGUAAGCAAGUUAGAAGUGAAAUCCUAUAGCUCAACUAUAGUAAGCUUUUAAAACUGCUCAUCUUGAGGUAUGGAAGGGAAAGUGGAAUUCCUAGUGUAGCGGUGAAAUGCGCAGAUAUUAGGAGGAAUACCGGUGGCGAAGGCGACUUUCUGGCCAUAACCUGACGCUGAGGUACGAAAGCGUGGGUAGCAAACAGG
rnacentral:rRNA from 1 species